GGUACAUCGGUGCAGGUGGUGCAUGGUUGUCGUCAGCUCGUGUCGUGAGAUGUUGGGUUAAGUCCCGCAACGAGCGCAACCCCUAUUGUUAGUUGCCAUCAUUCAGUUGGGCACUCUAGCGAGACUGCCGGUAAUAAACCGGAGGAAGGUGGGGAGUGACGUCAAAUCAUCAUGCCCCUUAUGACCUGGGCUACACACGUGCUACAAUGGUUGGUACAACGAGUUGCGAGUCGGUGACGGCGAGCUAAUCUCUUAAAGCCAAUCUCAGUUCGGAUUGUAGGCUGCAACUCGCCUACAUGAAGUCGGAAUCGCUAGUAAUCGCGGAUCAGCACGCCCGCGGUCCGAAUACGUUCCGGCCUU
rnacentral:rRNA from 1 species